AUGACACCGAAAGCCAGACACAUUAAAUCUACAAAUGGCCGCGCCCCCUCUUACAGAAAAAAAAAAGGGGCAUAUGUUUAUUCAUAUGUUUAUUUAUGUAACGUAAGCGUGUGACUUUUAAUUCGUGACGUGCUUUCAUGGGCGUGCGCGCGGACCGGAUGGAGUUGCCAUGGAAACGGAGCGCAACACUGCAAAUGUCACGAGGAAACACCCCGUUUCUCGCUGAUUUCACUGUUUUCAGGAAUGGUUUAAUGUCUUCGAAAAGUCCGUUAGCAUUUCUUCCGUUUUCAGACGACGUAUCGUCAGGUAUGAUAACUCUAUUGUUCUCUUAUUUAUGAAAGUUUGGGCUUUUAAUCAAAUCUUCAGUCUAGCUUUUGACUGUUUUGUUGGUAAUCUUUCAAUGGAUGAUUGGAAAUUGCUUAAUUUAUUUAACCUUAACAUUUACACUUUACUGUUUAUCGAUGACGUCACUAUAUCAAGGAGCGCGAAAAUUGGCAGAAAACUAAAGUUGUUUUGAUCUUCUAUGGGAAACAUAAAACUGUUCUGCGAUUUCAAGAGUAACAAAAUAAUCCUUCUACAACAGAAGGGAGUUUCCAAGAUUUCAAUAUUUCUGAAGGGAGCUGCUGACAGAGAUGUAGGAAGCGCUGAAAAGAUUCUUCAGUGCUGAUGGCCUGCUGCAUCCAGCAGAGUCGGAGUGAACCUACUGUAAGACAACAUCUCCAAGAUGCUAUUGACCACAAGACUAGUACAGGUUAUUAGAAACUGCACAGCACAGGACUUGUGAGGACUUCAGAUGAUAACAGUACUCAAAAGACCUUAGAUGAUGGCAACUAUAGAUGGACAUACAAACUACCGCCACUGCAGAAAAGAUUCUAAUUUGAAAGAAGUUUAUAAUGCAUGUUCGCUACUCCCAAUUCAGAAGACUGAAUCAGACUGUGUAUCUGAAUGUUUCUCAUACUCACUCCUCUCUGCCACGUCUGAAUUUAGCUGUCAGUUAUAAACAUCAAAAUUAAAAGAAAUAAACAUUUGAAAUAUAUCAGUCUGUGUGUAAUGAAUAAAUAUAAUAUACAAGUUUCACUUUUUGAAUGGAAUUAGUGAAAUAAAUCAACUUUUUGAUGAUAUUCUAAUUAUAUGACCAGCACCUGUAUAUCAUUGCUCUUUUGUUGAUUUUGAUUGCUUCCAUUGUCCUCAUUUGUAAGUUGCUUUGGAUAAAAGUGUCUGCUAAAUGUAAUGUUAAUGUGUAUUUAACUAUAUUUAUAAAUAUUUAUCUGUAUUUUUUAUUUUGUAAUAAUGUAAAUGUAUUUGUUUUAUAUCUAUACAUGCAGUUGUAUUCAUGUAUGUAUAUUUAUUUGUCUCAUUUUUAUAUUUUAAUAAAGCAGUUUAGAC